CUUUGGGAUAACCCUCGGAAACGGGGGCUAAUACCGGAUAUGACUUCCUGUCGCAUGGUGGGGGGUGGAAAGUUUUUCGGCCUGGGAUGGGCUCGCGGCCUAUCAGCUUGUUGGUGGGGUGAUGGCCUACCAAGGCGACGACGGGUAGCCGGCCUGAGAGGGCGACCGGCCACACUGGGACUGAGACACGGCCCAGACUCCUACGGGAGGCAGCAGUGGGGAAUAUUGCACAAUGGGCGGAAGCCUGAUGCAGCGACGCCGCGUGAGGGAUGACGGCCUUCGGGUUGUAAACCUCUUUCAGCAGGGACGAAGCGCAAGUGACGGUACCUGCAGAAGAAGCGCCGGCCAACUACGUGCCAGCGGCCGCGGUAAGACGUAGGGCGCGAGCGUUGUCCGGAUUUGUUGGGCGUAAGAGCUCGUAGGCGGCUUGUCGCGUCGACCGUGAAAACUUGGGGCUCAACCCCAAGCCUGCGGUCGAUACGGGCAGGCUAGAGUUCGGUAGAGGAGACUGGAAUUCCUGGUGUAGCGGUGAAAUGCGCAGAUAUCAGGGGGAACACCGGUGGCGAAGGCGGGUCUCUGGGCCGAUACUGACGCUGAGGAGCGAAAGCGUGGGGAGCGAACAGGAUUAGAUACCCUGGUAGUCCACGCUGUAAACGUUGGGCGC
rnacentral:rRNA from 1 species